rnacentral:rRNA from 1 species
UACGUAGGUCCCGAGCGUUGUCCGGAUUUAUUGGGCGUAAAGCGAGCGCAGGUGGUUUAUUAAGUCUGGUGUAAAAGGCAGUGGCUCAACCAUUGUAUGCAUUGGAAACUGGUAGACUUGAGUGCAGGAGAGGAGAGUGGAAUUCCAUGUGUAGCGGUGAAAUGCGUAGAUAUAUGGAGGAACAUCGGUGGCGAAAGCGGCUCUCCGGCCUGUAACUGACACUGAGGCUCGAAAGCGUGGGGAGCAAACAGG